GACGAACGCUGGCGGCGUGCUUAACACAUGCAAGUCGAACGGAAAGGCCCUGCUUUUGUGUGGUGCUCGAGUUGCGAACGGGUGAGUAACACGUGAGUAACCUGCCUUUUACUGUGGGAUAACUUGAGGAAACUGGAGCUAAUACCGGAUAGGAGCUGCUGCUGCAUGGUGGUGGUUGGAAAGUUUCGACUGUUGGGGGUGGAGUUGGGGCUUAUGAGCUCGUGGGGGGGGGAGUGGCUUAGGAAGGCUUUGGCGGCUAGCCGGCCUGGGAGGGUGACCGGGCACAGUGGGCCUGGGGUAGGGGCCAGAGGGAAACGGGAGGCAGGGGUGGGGAAUAGUGCACAAUGGGCGGAGGCCUGAUGCAGCAAUUCCGGGUGGGGGAGGACGGUUUUAGGGGUGGAAAGCGCUUUAGCGUGUGACGAAGCGUGAGUGACGGUAAUGGGUAAAGAAGCACCGGCUAACUACGUG
rnacentral:rRNA from 1 species